rnacentral:rRNA from 1 species
GUAGGGAAUCUUGCGCAAUGGGCGAAAGCCUGACGCAGCCAUGCCGCGUGAAUGAUGAAGGUCUUAGGAUUGUAAAAUUCUUUCACCGGGGACGAUAAUGACGGUACCCGGAGAAGAAGCUCCGGCUAACUUCGUGCCAGCAGCCGCGGUAAUACGAAGGGGGCUAGCGUUGCUCGGAAUUACUGGGCGUAAAGGGCGCGUAGGCGGAUAUUUAAGUCGGGGGUGAAAGCCCGGGGCUCAACCUCGGAAUAGCCUUCGAUACUGGAUAUAUUGAGUACGGGAGAGGUGUGUGGAACUCCGAGUGUAGAGGUGAAAUUCGUAGAUAUUCGGAAGAACACCAGUGGCGAAGGCGACACACUGGCCCGUUACUGACGCUGAGGCGCGAAAGCGUGGGGAGCAAACAGGAUUAGAAACCCUAGUAGUCC